rnacentral:rRNA from 1 species
GACAGAGGGGGCAAGCGUUGCUCGGAAUUACUGGGCGUAAAGGGCGCGUAGGCGGGAUGGCAAGUCGGUCGUGAAAUCCUUCGGCUCAACCGAAGAACGUCGAUCGAUACUGCUGUUCUUGAGGGUUGCAGAGGAGACUGGAAUUCAUGGUGUAGCAGUGAAAUGCGUAAAGAUCAUGAGGAAGACCAGUGGCGAAGGCGGGUCUCUGGACAGUUCCUGACACUGAGACACGAAGGCCAGGGGAGCAAACGGG